AACGUCCUUAUCAGAGGGAUGAGCGACUGCUCAAGGAUCGUCUAGUGAGAGUGGUCUGCUGACACCCAUGAUACAACAUACCAAGAGCUCCAGGCUUUGUUCCUGGUGUCUCAAUUUUUGGACCC